UCUAUGUGCCCUGGACAAAGAGUGGGAGCUGUGCCUGGACUUGACCUCAGAGGAGGGGGUGUCUCAGACAUUUAUUAGGCACCUGCUGUAUUUCAGGUCCUGUAGAUGCGGCAGAAAACCAGGAAGGCCAAGCCAGACCCUCAGGAAGCACUUGGGUUGGGGACAAGGAGGAUUACGCCUGCAUCUCAGAAGCAUAGAAGAAGAACUAUAAUCAGCUAGUGGACGAGCUGCCACACUGACACUGGCAUGAAAAUGUCCUGGAGUUACUGGUCCUCAGAAGCAAAUGAGCACAAGGAAGAAUAAAGAAAGGAGACCCGGAUCUUUAGGCUUAGCCAAAAGCUUCAUGGAAGUCACCCUCUUGCUAGAUAGCAGCAGGGAUGUCCAAGCUCCACAAUGCCCAGAGCACAGUAACCUUCAGAGCCUGGCCAGGUUGUCCAGUACACCAUGUGGAUGAGGACAUAGGACUCCUACUCGCACCCCCUGGAGAUGAGGGCUGCUCAGGGCUCUCCUAAUACAACAGGAUGCACAGUCCCAG
rnacentral:lncRNA from 1 species